GGAUUGUUACAUUAUGAGACCCUAGAUAUUUAAUGGGAAUCAAGGCAACAAAGGUUCCAAAAUCACUACCAGCAAAAAUAUGAAGAACAACAGUUGAGAAGUAUCAACACAGUAGCUAAAUAAAGAAUAAUCAAUAGAGUUCUUGAACUGAGAACUAACAAUCUAGAGCAUCAACAGCAUUGUAGAAUUUUGCAAACCAAAGGCCAACUUCAGACCAUGAAGUAAGUUUCUUACUACUUUCCUUCGCAAUUUGCAAGUAUGUACUGUACAUUAUUUCAAUCAGAAAAUACUCGAAAAACGAAAUAAAGAGAAAACUAUGCCUACACCCUUUGGAUUUCAGUGCAAUAUACAUCACCAUAAGUCCAUAGUGUACCAAAUAAGAAAAUUUGGUGGCGAAACUUGAUUAACAGUUGGUGUUCUUUGUUGAAGUGCUUGGAGUAUGGUGGAGUCGAGAAAUCCAGUAUCACGGGUAAUGAUUUGAGAAAAUAUUCCAAAAGCUUUAUAAAUUGGAGCCCUGAUCAUGAUUCAAGGUUUCCGUGGGGAACGUUGUCCGUGGAAGAAUGAGGUUAGCUAGCUCUUCAUUCAAUUUCACUGGCAGAGGUGGCAUCUGUUUCAUUAUGUCUUGUAUCUCUCUCAGGCUGCAAAUUGUAAAUAGAUUUACAAUAGGUUUAUAUUUGUAUACAUGAAAAAAGAAAAAAAAUGGAAAAAAUAAAAGAAGAAAAUCUAGUUGCACAAACUUUCACUUUGUCCUAAAGUGCCCGUGUUUGACACGAGUAUGGGUACUCGACAAUUCAUUUUAGUGUAAAAAAUUGGCAAAAUUGAAGAUUACCGGUGUCGGACUCUUUUUAAAAAUACCGGACACUCCAUCCGAGUCCGUGUAACAUAGCUAACAAUAUUUAAUGCACAUUAGGGAAAUGCAACUUCACAAAGAGCACAGCUUCACAUCAUAGACAUGCUUAAGUAGGCUUACAUUGUUGGUGGAGUUUCUGCCUAAGCACAAAUAUAGUCAAAAUUUAAAAGACACCUAGUAAUGUUAAGAAGCCAAACUUCUAUUGCAAUUGAGUUGAGUCUCUGCUAUUAAAUCGAGUUAUUUAACAGUUACAAAACAUGCAUAUUAAUUUUUCUUAAUUCUCUCUUUUUCCAGCCAACUCUGGAUUUGGAAAUCUAAGCAUAUAGACAGUCACGCCAAUCAGGAUGUAACGAGGAAAAUGGGAAAAAAUAUUGCAUUUCAAGACCCUGAACAACCCCCCUACCCCACCCCACCCCACUCCUUUUGGAAAAUAUUCAUCCAAAAAUGUGUUAGGCCAAACACAAAGUUCCACAGAGAUAGAAGUAUCCAAAAGGAAGUCCUGCUACUAGAGCUCUGCAUGAACUAAGCAAAGCUGAGCUCAUCCUGAACAAGGCUCGGCUCAGUUAGACGUAUUAACCAAACCUUAAAAUUCAAUUCAAGCUCAGUUUUUUUCACUCUAUGGACGACCCAAGCCAAACCCACUAUGAGCCUGAGACAAGACUGAGAGCUCACAAACUUGGUUCAAUAAAAUUUAAUAAAAAAUUAUGAUGACAUGAAAAUUUGCAUCAGUUAAAACUUAUAGCAUGAAAUUUUAUCGAAAGUGUGUUAAACAAUAAAACAAUUUCAAGUAACAUUAGAAUAAAUAUAAUUAAUUUUGAUGAAAUAUAUGAUUUGACAUAUAACAAUUCCAAUUGUCUCCAUAACGUGAUAUGAUUAUAGUCCAACCCUAAAAUAUGUAUAUCAAUAAUCCAACCCCAGGCCCAAACCUAAGUGAGCCGAGCUUACCCUUGUUCAAGCUCCGCUGAUUUAGUAAAUAAGCCUUAAAACAGAGAAGCUCGGCUCGUUACAUGAGCCAGAGCUGGGCGCUCAAUGAGUCAAAAACCGAGUUGUUCAUGAAUAUCUCAGUUCAUUAGCAGCCCUGCACAUAUAUAAGGUAUAAUACACUGCAUUCGUGUAUUAACAAAGGUGUAGAAUACUAGACAUGGAAGAUUAAUGAUUCUUAAACUGUCAAAUGUCUGACAGAAAUAUAAAAGUUACAGGAAAAUGGUUGUCAUGGAAAAAACAAUUAAAUUUCACCUCUCCAAUGAAAAAAAGGGAAUUGAUAUUUCCACAAGUAAAUUUUGAUAUUUCGACAAGAUUCCUUUCACAUGACUAUGGAACCUAUUUAAUAUUCAUGUGAGAGGGAUCUUAUGAAACUAUCACUUUUGGUUUUGGAAAUAUCAAUUCCCGAAAAAAAUUAGAAGGCAAUAGAGAAAUAGGAGAUGAUACAGGAACAUUUAAAUUAAGUGGAUGGAAAAACAGGGAACAAUGAUGCAAAAGGAUGAGAUAUGCAACAUACUUGCUCAAGAUUUUGAGGAUGUUAUCCCGAGCUUGGCAAAAAAGACCAAUGUUCUCAUGCGUCUGGAGAGAGAGGGAGGGAGAGAGAGAGAGAUUAGCUCAGUCUACCAGAAUGAAUAAAACUCCAGAUAACAAAGUAUAAAGAGCAAGUCAACUCAUUAUCUAGUUUAAUAAAGGAAUCACAAUGCUCCAACCAUUUCCUCUUACUAAAUUUUUUUAAAAAUUAUUUAUUAUCAAAAUGGACGAGGGGCAUAGAACCUAACUUCAACCCAACAAGUAGUAGGUCUAUGUAAGCUACUAGAGAUAUCUUUAACAAUAUAAUAUUUCUCCAUUGAGUCCCUAACGGGAUUUGAUUCCCGCAUCUCCCCAUUAGAGGAGAGCCACUAGACCUAGAGUUAAUUGAAACUUCCUCCUCUUCAAAAUGUAUAAGUGNNNNNNNNNNNNNNNNNNNNNNNNNNNNNNNNNNNNNNNNNNNNNNNNNNNNNNNNNNNNNNNNNNNNNNNNNNNNNNNNNNNNNNNNNNNNNNNNNNNNACGCUUACAAACUAUAAACUUCACCUAUAACGAUCUCAAUAUUCAAUUUAAAAGUGUUUGGGGAAAAAACGCUUACAAACUAUAAACUUCACCUAUAGAAGAUCUCAAUAUUAAAUUUAACGAUUGUUAACCGACAGUAUUUCCAUAAGGGCUUUUACACUGAUGAUCACACCUUCAUUUUCUGUCAACUAAUGUCAACUAAUGUUUUCUUUCAGUGACAUCAAUCCUUAUGUUGAUACAAGUUCAAAUUUUCCUAAUGUUGAAAUUAACCGCUCAACAUGCAAGGUGGACAAUGAACAAAAAUUAUUCCACAACUAAAUCAUAAAAUUGCUAAGUCAUGCAAUAUACACGGUUAUGCAAAAAGCUAGACUCGACAUAUUCCCCAAAAAUAGGAAAAAGGAACAUAAUUUUUUCACUCAUUAGUCAUUCGUACUUUUUCAACUCCCACUUUAGUAUGACUUAUGAGGUAAAAUAUGUAAUCAAAUACAUAAAUUUCUCACCUGAAAAGCUCUAAAAUUUGCAGAAAUCUGCUCCAAUGCCUGAGCAUUUUGUCGAAGAAGCUGCCCAGUAACGCCACCUAUGGCCGUGAACAAUACAAAUACAUUGACAACAGAACAGUAUGAUAACCCAAUACAGAAUACUAUAGAAGAAUUUCAUGAUUGCAAAUUGGAAUAUUUUAUUAGACUAUGGUACAUUUUAGAAACUACUUUAGGUAGAAAACAUUGUAAUAGUUACAAGAAUUUUUUCACAACAUGAAUAGUCAAUACCAAUAAUUAGAAUGACAUGCAUUAUAUGCUAAGAUUUUUAGUGAGAAUACUGUUGGAAAAUGGAGGAUAAUGAAACAAAGGCUUGGCUAAAUUUUUCACAGUACAGGAAAAGCUGUCUGAGUCUUUGACACCGAGAAAGCGAAGAAAGGGGAGGGAAAUCAAGAAAGGGAAAGAAGAAGAGAAGGACCACCAUAAAGAAUUAAAAAAUGAGGAUAAUUAUGAACUAAGAAGAAGAGACUGAGACUGAGACUGAGAGUUACAAAAUGUAGAGACAAAAAGAUGUGAGGGGAUCUCAAGAAAGAGAUUAGUAAAGUAGAGGUGAGAGGAAGAAGAAGAUAAGAAGCGGAGAGAUUGUACAUAACAAUAUCCCGAACAAAAUUAGCUGUUGUGUUUGUUCAGUUUUGGAAGUAAAACCUACCUUUUCAAAUUGGAAUAAUAAUUAUAAAAUAGUGGUAGCUCUUAGGUGAUGAAAAAAUUCAGUAAUCAUAAUUACUAAAUAAAGAAUAAGUAUCUUUAAGCAGGGAAAAUUUUUUAUAAGCAUAUUUAGUUACAGAAUACCAGUUCAAAAUUUUUAUUUAGAAUCUUUUAGGAAAUAAAAACCCAACCAUUGUACAAGAUGCCAUUAUCAUUGACGUUAGUAACCACUCCUUCAGCAUAAAAGCUUGGCAGACCUGCUAAAUGAGAUGACCUUGCGGGAGGAUCAGUCAAAUUUUCCUGAGAAGUGAAAUGAAAAUGUUAUUUAGAAGGUCUAUGUAACAAGUAGUUAAAUGUAAGCCAUACAAAACAAUAAUAUCUUUUAAUCUCGUAGCAAACAGCACAACAGAUAGAUGAAGGUAACUAUGAAAUUUUUCAUAAAAAAAAAACCUUACAAAAACUUCUUGGUCCUUGUAUAAGAGUGUCAGACUGACAUUAAUUAAACUAUUUGCCAGAAACAAGCUUUCAUCAUUAAUGAGUUUGGGGUUUUUCUUCCUAAAUUGUUAGGGGAGUUCACCAUAAUAUGAGUUUAGAUAUGACAGCUGUACCCACAUAAGCAAUUGAAGCAAUUCCUAAAGAUUCAACAGCCAUCAGUUGAUAAGUCCAUAGUAUGAUGGAAUAAUAUUUGUGAUGACACCGAUGCUCAUGUAAAAAGACUAAUGUCCACAACAAGCUUGAGCUUAUAGGCGGAAAUUCCAGGUUAUGUUAUUUAUAGGGUUUGAAAUGACUCCCAUACUUACAAGUUCUAACUUCUAGGGAUUUUGUUUGUUAGGUAAUUACUAGAAGGAUAAUAUUAGUAUUGGGUUUGCUUAUGAAAAUCAAACAUUUGAUUAACAGAAUUAAGGAAUUUCCUUCCUUUAUUGUCACUGUUUCUCAUUGUGCGUUCUCAUUCUUUUGAUAUUCUUCCCUCUUUCUUCAUCCCUUCUGAUGAGGACAUGCCUAGCUUGGAUUCAAAUGGAGGCUAUGGAUCAGAUCCAGUGCAAGUAGACGAGAGGCCGAGCUAAACGCUUCAAGGAUGGGCUUGUUGGAUUGAUCCGUGAAGUUUGGAAGGAGGAUGGAUCGACAUCAAAGAUUAUUGAGAUGAGUUCUAGGUCCAUGAAGGUUGUGAACUUGCUAAAGCUGAACCAGGAAACAAAAGAGCAGAAUCAGUUUUCUCCCAACUACCCAGUUGACGCGUUUUUGAAGAUUUGGACGCGAAUUUGCUUUGUUAAUUAGUUAUUUUUCAGUAUCUUUUCAGACUUUGAUUGUAAUUAGGAUACUCUUAUUAUAGUUGGUUUCCAAAUUGAUUAUAAUUCCUUAUAAGGAAUUUAGGGUUUGUAUUACUAUUAUAAAUAGGUUUAUUGGUAUAAUUCAUAACAACAUUCAAUAUUAUUCAGAUU
rnacentral:lncRNA from 1 species